rnacentral:rRNA from 1 species
AUUGAACGCUGGCGGCAGGCCUAACACAUGCAAGUCGAGCGGAGCGGCGGACGGGUGAGUAAUGCCUAGGAAUCUGCCUGGCCGUUGGGGAUAACGUCCGGAAACGGGCGCUAAUACAGCAUACUCUCAGAUGAGCCUAGGGCGGAUUAGCUAGUUGGUGGGGUAAUGGCCUACUAAGGCAAUGAGCCGUAACUGGUCUGAGAGGAUGAUCAGUCACAAUGGAACUGAGACAAGGUCCAGACUCCUACGGGUGGCAGCAGUGGGGAAUAUUGGACAAUGGGCGAAAGCCUGAUGCAGCCAUGCCGCGUGUGGGAAGAAGGUCUUCGGGUUGUAAAGCACUUUAAGUUGGGAGGCGUUACCAACAGAAUAAGCACCGGCUAACUUCGUGCCAGCAGCCGCGGUAAUAC